CCUACGGGAGGCAGCAGUGAGGAAUAUUGGUCAAUGGUCGCGAGCCUGAACCAGCCAAGUAGCGUGAGGGAUGACUGCCCUACGGGUUGUAAACUUCUUUUAUAGAGGAAUAAAGUGCGGCACGUGUGCCUUUUUGUAUGUACUUUAUGAAUAAGGAUCGGCUAACUCCGUGCCAGCAGCCGCGGUAAUACGGAGGAUCCGAGCGUUAUCCGGAUUUAUUGGGUUUAAAGGGAGCGUAGAUGGGUGGGUAAGUCAGUUGUGAAAGUUUGCGGCUCGACCGUAAAAUUGCAAUUGAUACUGGCAGUCUUGAGUACAGUUGAGGUAGGCGGAAUGCGUGGUGUAGCGGUGAAAUGCUUAGAUAUCACGAAGAACUCCGAUUGCGAAGGCAGCUUACCAAACCGCAACUGACAUUGAUGCUCGAAAGUGUGGGUAUCAAACAGGAUUAGAUACCCGGGUAGUC
rnacentral:rRNA from 1 species